rnacentral:rRNA from 1 species
UACAGAGGAGCCAAGCGUUGUCCGGAUUGACUGGGCGUAAAGCGCACGCAGGCGGCCGCGCGCGUGGGGUGUGAAAUCUGGCCGCUUAACGGCCAGGCGCCAUCCCAUACGGCGCGGCUGGAGCCAUGCAGAGGGCGGUGGAAUUGCCGGUGUAGCAGUGAAAUGCGUAGAUAUCAGGAGGAACACCGAUGGCGAAGGCAGGUCUCUGGGCUGACACUGACGCUCAUGCACGAAAGCGUGGGGAGCAAACAGG